UCCUCGAUCCGCAUCGCCAGCAGCUCCGGUACGUUGCCCCCCUUCUUGAUCACGCCCCUCUCCUCCUCUUUAGUAUUCCUUUAUAUCAUGGUUUGAUGUGGUUCAUCUUUCCUGAUGAGCCGAGGCGCCGUGACCCGGCCUCACAGCCACGGGAAGGAGCGACGAAUCCCCAACUCUGCGGUAUGGCGUGCUUUGCCAGUUCGUCACCAAGUCCCCAAUGUUGUCACCGGCCGGACCUACGACGGUGCUAAGAUGAGUCAUCCUCUCUAAAAGCUUCUGUUUAAUCUCUAAUGGAUCUAUUCUUCUAACCAUGAAGCAAUUUAAGUAGCAAGUUCGUUUCUCGUUGGUUAGUUGUAAGCAACCACAUGAUGUUAAAGGGAAGUACCAAUCAGGCUUAUGCCUCUUCUCUACGUGUAUGUUUGGGAUGCCUUUUCUCUAGGUGUAUGCUCGGGUUAUUUACUAAUUGUAUAUGUGCUAGACCUUCCUGAUGGUCCAUUGCCAGGCAUAGAAAGGCUACAAUUUUGAUUUUCUGCCAAGUGUUGUGAUCUUAGUUUCUUGGAAAGACUGAGUUCCCACUUCUCUAAUGUGCUAAAUGAUCUCCAGCUAACUUUUGUAUAUUGAUUGAUACACCUCUCCAGCUUCAAAUUUUUGUACAUCCUUAACUGAAUGCAUCCUUAUUAUUUCAUGUUCAUUCUAAAAUGCAACAUUAUUGGUAAGAUGCUCAAUCAAAUUCUUCUGCUGGCCUGGUUAUGUUCUUGAUACUAACAUGGAUAGUGCAUAGGUACUCACUUAAUUUCUACUGAGCUAUAAUGGCCAACAACAGUAGCUCACUUAAUUUCUUGAUACUAACGUUGAAUUUUGAUUCUUUGUUCGCAGGCAGCGGAAGGGGCUUUGAGAUCUCCAAGUUGGAGGAGAGGAAGUGUCCUCUGAUGCUGCAGCCAAGGGAAAUGACGACAGGUGAUUUGUUCUUUGUCAUGGAUUUUGUAUUUUUCGGGGAGUCGAUCACUUGUGUGUGUGAAGAAUUGAGUACACGCGGAUUGGUAGGAUUGAAAGAGAUUGAUGCAUUUUUUGUUUAAUAGCUGGAGUGUAAUUCCAUUCAGCUGGCAAUUUAUCCAUGUAGUCCUGUAAGAUAUUGCCUACAUGACUUAAGGUGUGGUGCAUAUAUUAAUCAUUAUUAUGAUAAUUAAGAUUAACACAAGUUAUUCAGACAUAUUUGUGAAUCUCAACUAAGAUAAGCUUAUUCGCAAAGUAUAUGCAAAUACUCCCUCUGUAAACAAAUAAAAGACGUUUUAGAUAUGAUAUUUGCAGAGGGAAUAGUUUACAGAGGAAGUAGUAUAUAUAUGAAGAUAACAUCUACUGGUAUGAUAUUUACAACACUUCAGUUAUUAUGGUUAUUUCAGUUCCAAAGAACACAAAUAUUUACUUGAGAUAAUUUGCAUGUGUAGCGAUGUAGUUGUAUAUAGGGCAUGCAAGUAACGGAGUAAGUCACAAUUAUGAAACAAAGGUCCUAUUUAAUUGGUCUAGGUUUGCUUUUUCAUUGUUUUCAUUUCUUUAAUUAAUGUACAUGUGGAGGUAUAACAGUUUCUUAGACCAUAUAUAUAUAGAAAGUGCUUGCAUGUUCUCUGUACAUACCUUGAGUUGGCUCUAAUUAAUCCCCAGUAUGGCGUAAAAUUUUUCGCUAGUUGGUGAAUAGUUGCAUCAGCUAAACCCACUAUAAAUUUGUGUGAGAAGCCUAGGAAUAUGGAAUUUGCCCCUGAUGAAUAUGAGUUUGUUGUUCCCUAUGUCCCAUGUGCAUCACCAUGAAGAAUAUCUUUGGGAAUAUGAGUUUGUUAUAGACAAAACAGUCUUUGAUUGUAAAUCUUCACAAUAUUUUUUUAUUUUAUAACAUCUUGUGUAUAUUUUUAAAGAUUUCAAAAGGAAGACUUUUUAGGUGUUAUCAUCUAUUACCUAUAGCUAUGCACAUACCUUAAAUAUUUUACGUUUCUCAUGACAGAUCUUUCCCAAGCCUAGAUAUUCUAGCUGAGAGCUCCAUCAUGGAAUCACUAAGAUGAACUUACAAGACAGGCAUGGAUAAAACCAUG
rnacentral:lncRNA from 1 species